rnacentral:rRNA from 1 species
AGACAGAGGGUGCAAACGUUGCUCGGAAUCACUGGGCGUAAAGGGCGUGUAGGCGGGAAGGAAAGUCGGGCGUGAAAUCCCUGGGCUCAACCCAGGAACUGCACUCGAAACUUCUUUUCUUGAGUGCCGGAGAGGAAAGCGGAAUACCUGGUGUAGAGGUGAAAUUCGUAGAUAUCAGGUGGAACACCAGUGGCGAAGGCGGCUUGCCAGAACGCGCU